ensembl:rRNA 5S_rRNA 5S ribosomal RNA
GUCGACGCCACACCACUCUGAACGCGUCCGGUCCCAGCUGAUCUCGGAAGCUGAGCAGGGCCGGGCCUGGUGAGUACUUGGAUAGGAGACCGCCUAAGAAGACUGGGUGCUGUAGGUG